ACGGAAGGCAGCAGUGGGGGAUAUUGCACAAUGGGGGAAACCCUGAUGCAGCGACGCCGCGUGAGUGAAGAAGUAUUUCGGUAUGUAAAGCUCUAUCAGCAGGGAAGAUAAUGACGGUACCUGACUAAGAAGCACCGGCUAAAUACGUGCCAGCAGCCGCGGUAAUACGUAUGGUGCAAGCGUUAUCCGGAUUUACUGGGUGUAAAGGGAGCGUAGACGGCAUAGCAAGUCUGAUGUGAAAGCUAUGGGCUCAACCCAUAAACUGCAUUGGAAACUGUUAAGCUAGAGUGUCGGAGAGGUAAGUGGAAUUCCUAGUGUAGCGGUGAAAUGCAUAGAUAUUAGGAGGAACACCAGUGGCGAAGGCGGCUUACUGGACGAUAACUGACGUUGAGGCUCGAAAGCGUGGGGAGCAAACAGGAUUAGAUACCCUGGUA
rnacentral:rRNA from 1 species